GUGGAACGAAUUGUAGGAGUUGGAGGAUGAGGAGGAGUACCAUGAAAUGUCAUCUUCUGGUCAUGACAUGAGGACAGCACACGUGAACUCACAGCAACAGUGGACACCUGCACAAGCCCAUUAGUCCAGCAUGGAUGAAGAAGGAACAUAUGAAACCACACCCCAGCUGAGAAGCUAUUAACUCACAUCCUGGAAGUGAAGACCUAUUUCCUUGAGAGCCCAGUGGUCCUAGGAGGGAAGGAUUAAAAAGUUCAGGGUUCUGCUCCCUGAGUUCAAAGACAACACAGAGCAUGACUCGUGCCGAAGCUAGAGUGACUAAUAAACUGCCAAUCUGUGGUA